CCCACAUCGUUAGUUAUAAGUGUCUAACGAGACUGCCGGUGAUAAGCCGGAGGAAGGUGUGGAUGACGUCAAGUCAGCAUGGCCUUUAUAUCCGGGGCUACACACACGCUACAAUGGACGGUACAAUGGGCAGCGAAGCCGCGAGGUGAAGCCAAUCCCCCAAAGCCGUUCUCAGUUCGGAUUGCAGGCUGCAACUCGCCUGCAUGAAGUCGGAGUUGCUAGUAAACGUGCGUCAGCACAGCGCGUUGAAUACGUUCCCGGGGAUUGUACACACCGCCCGU
rnacentral:rRNA from 1 species